CAGGCGCGUGCGCAGAUAAGGGUCAGACUACAGGAGGAAGCAGCGACUUUAACCUUCGUUGAUACUCUCAGUGAAGAAACCUUGUGUUUUUGUGAGACCGUCAUUGUUACGGAACAAGUAUUGUUAAUAAGCAAAGUUGACCAUCAGCCUCGGGUGCACGUUGCAAUUAUAUGUUUGAGUGGAAGCGAUUCAGAUAUCCGGUUUGUUUCAGUAUAUGAUGGUUGCGAUGAAUCAUCAUUGUCAUGACACAACAUAAAGGCUCCAUUGCACUUGUCUCUGCUAUAGUGUUUCAGGGCUUUCAUCUUUACCUGUAUAUGAAACCUUUUGGCAGCUGUUUCCGGCAAACCCACUCAGACAAGAUGAGUAUACACUGCCCUGCCCAAACAGAAGUGGCAGUGAUCCAAUUUAAGCAAAUGACUGUUUCUGGAACUCUAGUACAACGGAGGCCACAUGCUUGUGUCUUUAGAGCAGUAUAAUGUUACAACCAACUAACAGGUUAAGACCCUACUAAACAAAAAUCAUAAACACAGCUAUCCUUCCAUCCAUUGUCCUAAGGCUUUCAUGUGUGCAGUUAAAUACCUUUAAAUAGGCUGGCUGGCUCACUCAUUCACUCACUUACUCACUCUCUGGGCAGGAACAAGAAAAGUGGGACUUUUACAGUACAUGUAGAAAGGUACAUAGAGAGGGAGAUGGAGAGAAAGAAGCAAACUCUGGGAUGACCUGCAAUGCCUUCAAUACGUAGCAUGUCAGUGGAUAGGAAAGGAAACACGACUUCAGUUAACAAGUCCCCCAACAUCUAAAUAUAUAGCAGCUUAACUAAGUGUGAGCCAUCACCGAGACCUGAAACAUCUGAAACGAUAAGCUUUAGUAAAAAGGAAAGUUUUAAGCAUAGCCUAGUCUGUUUCCCAAACCUGCAAUGAGAGCUGGUUUCACAAGACAAGAGUUUGAUGGAUAAGGGCUCUACCUCCUCCUCUACAUACUGCAUAGAAAGUCUGGGACACAAGUACAUUAGCACUCUGAGAAAUAAGCCUUCUUUUGGGACGACGUAGAUCUUUGAGCUUUCGAAGAUACUGUAUAAUUGCACAUGAUCAUUAAGUGCUUUGUAGAAAAAGGAGAAGUAUUUUAAAUUCUAUUCUAGAUUAUAGGAAGCCUUUAGAUGGAAGCUAAUGUAGACAAAAUACUUGUGCUCUCCAACCAUCUGACGUGCAGUUCAUAAGGAAAAUACUGUAAAUCCCCUUCUCUAGAAAAAAAAACAUUACAUAAAAAGGCUUAAUAUCUGUCUGUGAAACACAACAAAAACAAUCCCACUCUUCAUUCCUAAGCUAUAGUCAAUAUUCAUAAAAGUAAAUUCUACAAUUAAAUAAAUUAUAUUAUGUCACUGUCCUACUUCAGGACAAACUGUUGUAUCAGUCUGGUGGUGAGUUGACUAAAUAGUAAAAUGUUACCGAUUUUGUACAAAAGAUAAUAAUGUAGCUCAUUUUACAGAAACUAAUCAACAAUCAGCAAUAUUACAUUUGAAUUUUUAACAACAUAUUGUAACUCUUUAAUGGCCUCGACCUGGAUAUGAGGGUUCAUUCCACAGACAUUUGAGCUGCAUUAGCUGGUGGUAGGCCUUUCUUACCAGUGCUUUUUGGGCUGAAAACCUCCACCUGUUCCAAGCGGCCAUAGUACAGUAGGUGGACACAGUUUCACUGUGAAAUUUGUUAAACUAUCUAGGCCCUCAUAGCAUAUUAUUAUCUGUUUGUGAGAAAUGAUUGAUCAUGGCUAAAUGUGUUUACUAGGACAAUUCAAAACUUAUAAUUUGCAAUGUAAUGUAUUAGAGACGUUGAAGUUAUAAUAUAAAGAGAAAGUAUAGCUAUACUCGCCUUGUACUGUAGGUUCCAGAUUUAAGUAUCAGUUAGGAUGAACUGCUGUGCAAUGAAGAAGAGAGUCUGACUCAAAAAGGUGUGUUAAUGGAGUUACACUAUGAAACUAUUAAACAAAGCAUCAAAGCCCUGACUGACCUGGGGCCAGUGCACUGAGUUUUCAAAAACAACACACCUACUGCUGCAUCAUUUUGAAAGUUUGUGAGCUGUUACAGACAUCUUUAAAUAACAGCAAACAUACUGCAAUAGGCCUGGAUGUUAUGACGUGCUACAACACAAUUUUAGGUUUGUUAUAUAAGACACUGUACUGUAACACUGUUGCAAUAUGUAUUUUAUCUGCAGACGUUAAUGAUGUAUGAUGUAAUGUAAUGAUGUGUGUGCCAGGAGAUAGCAAUUUUGUAUUAUGGUUUUGUCUACCUCCGUAAUAAAUUUUUCCCAUAAAUACUCUAAUAGUGUUUUUCUGGAAAGCCUGUGAUAUUAUUUUCUUUUUUUUAUCUAUUUUGAUAAAUAAGCAGUGAUUUCAGAUACUGUAUCCUAAUGUUACAUUUUGAUUUAGUGUAAAAUGAUGUAUCACUACCUGUGAUUGGUUUGUCAUGCUUUAUUCUGUUUUGCUUCAUUUCACAAGCAAAAAUAAAUAGAAUAAUCUGACAGAGUAAUACUUCAAUUUGAUUUUGGUAGUCUAUUACUGUGAAUCAUUGCUAAUAUUUUAGCAGUUUUUUUGUAUAUGCUUAAUUUCUUUAAAAUUUUUGGAAAUUAAGUGGACCUCUGAAAUUCAGUAAAUUGCUUUGUUUUUGCUAAAGAGAAACAGAGAAUUAUCAUCAUCUCAAACUGAAGAUUACCAGUGAGCAUAGUCUGCUUCUGUAGCUAUCAGAUCAAGCUCAGAGAGACACGACAAUCCCCCAGAGCACUGUGGCCUCCAGGGAAUAACUGGUGGAAAAAGAGCAAGUUGAAAACAGUCACAUUGUGAGUAGUGACGGAAAAGCUCUGCUGCCAUUAAACAGAGCACCGAUAUUAUUGCAAUAAAAAAGACACUGUACCAACAAGGACGGUGCAGUAAAGCUGUAGUCACGAAUCAAACUUCACACGACCAGAGUUUCUCCUGUGAGUGUUUAUGGGAAUCAAGGUGUACAAUCAGAAUUUUUGCAUUUGUCCUUCUGAGCCCACAUGCAAACACAUAUACCGACUAAACCACAGGUUUAAGAGAUGGCUUGUAUCUUCAAGGCCACAUUUCCUCCAUUAGUACAUAUAGUGACAUGAGCCGCAGAAAACAGCAAGACUACAUCACUGACUCUCAAACAGGAAAUGAAAUACCAAUCAUAUCUGUCCAUCUCAUUCUGCAGACUUUGCUGCUGUUAUCGCCUCCUUUUUCUGGUUAGUUUACUGGGGAGAAACUCACAAAGGGAUAAAUUAAGAAAGAAAUUCUUAGAAGAAAGAUCCAAAGUGAUGGAUUUUAAUGCAGGACCUUCAUGCUGCAGGUGGACGUUUCAACCACCAAACCUGCAAGGCGUUUGCUGAUUGGGAGAAACGACAAACAGUAAAGGGUCAGUGCUCCUCAGGCUGCCUCUGCUUUGGUUGGUUAUUAAUAGAAAAUAUAAACAGACACAUUUGAAGUAUUUCUGAGUUUUGUUCCUUUUUUGUUGUCAAUUCAAUCUUUCAUUCAAGCCAACCUACCAGGGCACCGAGGACUCGCUUGUUUUUUUUUCAGGGUGAUUAUUUUUAGCUGUAUUUUAUCAGUGGGGAGGGGAGAAGCUGAUCUUUGUGAAUCAUGGGUGGUUAUGCCAUAAUAUUUAUUUUCAUUAUAACUAAUAUGUUUUUGUGAGACUGAUAGCUCCAGUGUAGUGGACACUUAGACUGCUGUUGUUGCGCUGAAUGCAUUUUUAUGCUUGGUCUAAAUAAAUGAUAUUUGACCUGCUGUUUGUGCUGACAAUGGCUCGGUGGCUGUCAGUGAUUUACACAGCAGUGACUCCCGCCUUCAGCCGUAUCAACCACAUAUAGCAGCAAAGUCAUGAUAACAAAGGUAAAGUAACUCAACAUGCUAUGUUGGACUGGAUGUGUGAGAUUUACUGUAUGCUGGAAUGACCGAUGAGGACGUAUACAUAGCAGUGCUGACCUUUAAGAUUUCCAUCUAUUGUAGGCAAACAUGAGACAGAGAUUCGGCAUCCCACUGUUUGACGUCAAUAACUCCAGCUUGCAUCCUCACAACUCGAGUGCUGCUAUAAAAAGACAUUUAGCAUGAAAAAUGCAGGAGUCUCAACCCCAGUGCCCCAGUCACAUCAUUGCUGCCACCGUUAACACCAAGCAUGACUUUUUCCCAGCUACACUCACAGCUUGUGUCUUUGUCUCGCAUUUCCUGCAGUUCAUUUAAACAGUUGGGCAAAAACUACAGUAAAACAGAACAGAAAUGUUGCUCUCAGAGCAGCGAUGUAGCUGUCACAGAGGCAUCUUCAUAAAGAAAUAGAAAUGUGAACAAAGAUGCGUGUCAGGCUUCAAACUGUGCAUGGAGAAGCAGCACAAAGGCUCUUGUGGUUUAAGCUCUUAUUUAUUUGCUUCAUAAACAUCUGUUUUAUUAAUUACAUCUUGCAUUGGACCCUGUCUCUUAAACAGAUAAGAAUUUUAAGCACAUUUUAGCAACAUGUAUUCACAGAUAUUGGACAAAGCAGAGAAGCAGCUUUUUUACGUUUUUGUAUUUUCAUUCAGUUUUUUCCUCUGACUAAAAGUACAGAAAUGUUGCUUAUUUUUCCUUGUUUGGCUGUUGCUGCAGAGCCUUGUCCCACCCUGUGUUGUGACAUUAGUGCAGUUUAGUGCUUAGUGCUAGUCCAGUGCUGCUGGUAGUUAUGAAUAAAAGACGUCUCAUUUUGUCAAAAUCUUAUUCUGUCUGCUUAAGUGAUCUCUUAAGACCCCUGGCUUGUAUUUAGGGAGGAAAAAGUGCAGUAUGCAUGAUUGUACAGUUGCAAGUACAUUUUUAUAACAACAGGAGUGAAAAGACUGUAAAGAGAAUAUAAAUGUACAGUAUGUGAAAGUAAUUGGCUUGACCUGCUUCUGUGUGUUUAUCUGGUGCAGUGGGGGGUGUUGAAGUGGGGGUGAUGCUCCGCGGAGCACGACGAGAGGAGAGGUACUCAGGGACAGCACAACCAUUCCAGAUAGCACUCAGUCUGAAUAAUGCAGCAGAAUGGAGGAGGGACAGAAGGGAGGAGGCCAGAGGAAGUGAAGAUGAACAAGAGGAAAAAAUAGGAAGGUUGUGUAGUGAGUGGGCUGGAAUGUGAGGCAAAGGCUGAAGACAUACAGUAUGAGAGGGAGGGACCACAGCAAAAGUAAAAAUAACGAGAGGACAAAGGAGAACAAGACUUUUGAAGCGGGGUCCAUUUCCCACUUGGCUGUAAUUAGGUUGUUUUCUUCUAAGAAUAACUCUUCAAGUGUGGCUUUGCUAUCUAGUUAGUAGACAUGAGUACAGCAGCAGAGUGUUGAGACAGAAGAUUGAAUCCUCUAUGUUGUAAAUUCUAGAUUCCUGUAGCAGGCAGGUUGUUUCUGUGCGAGGUAAAUAAUCACAGAGAUGCAGAACAGAAGGUUCAAAAUGAACACAUCAGGACACAAAUCUACACCAUUACACUAAAUGUUACAUGACCACAAGGAGUAGCAAAAAACUACAUAGAGACAAGGUAUUUUAUAUAAGUUUAGUUUGUCACAUUUUUUGAAUGAUUCCAUGAGACAAACAUGGAUGGGACGAGUUACUAAUAAUAACAUUAAAGACACUGAGUUGAGUUGCUGUUUCAUCUGUAGCAAUAGGAGAAAAGAAAAUCUAGGGUUCCAUAGUGAUAUCAGUGCUACAUAAGAAUACUGUGGGACUAAUUUUCUUCAUACAGUAUCUGUUGCAGCUAUGAUGUGCCAGUAAUCAGAGAAAGCUACGUUUUUUCAGAUGAAAUAUACAGACAGUGAUUUUACCACUAACACUCUCAGGUUGAUGGCUGGUUAAAAGGCAGCAAAUCUAAUUUGCAGGAUUCACAAAUGGAAUAUCUGCUACAUCAGAGGUGUAACUGGAGAGGAGUGCACCUCAGCCACCAUGGAGCAAAGAGAAGAUGGGAAAUUACAUUUACCUCCAUCUAUAUGAGCAAACACAAAGCCCUUAAAUAUGAUCAAUCACUCAUUAUAGUUUAUCAUAUACUUUAAUAGUAACACUGUAAGAUUUAUCAUAACAAAAAAGAUUUGUAACUAAAACUAAAACACUCUGGAUAUUACUUUUGAUAGCUUUACAUUGUUCCUGGCUUAUGAGAGAAGUGACUUGUUACCUAAAACCUUGUUUAAACAAUUUCCAUUCAGAGACUGAAUUAAAAUUAACCAGUAUUUUCUUAAGUAAAGUAAAUUUUGACAUGUGUCGACUUAUUGUCUGUUUGAAUCAAGAUUCUCAAAACAAGCACGUUUGUGGAACCAAGCUACAGUAUAGAAUAGAUACUAGGUGUCAGAUGGGAUACAAUAUACUGUCAUAUGCUUAUUAUUUGUCAUUAUCACAUGGAUGGUUAAUGAUCUACUUCAGCACACUCACUACCCACAUUCUCAUUUAAGAAAAGACCUAUUUGAACUAUGUUGCUGUCCUUACUGUAUGUUCCUUUCAACAAAUACUUGUUUGGACAUUUUUAGUUUGUCAGCUAUGUUAGAAAUAAUCAUUUUUUCUUGUUGAUACUCUAGUUGCUUCUCCAAAAGGUGAGGAACAAAAUCCUAAACACAAUAAACAGAAGUUUCGUUUCAGGGUUGUUCCUGAUUUCUGUUUCUGUUAUUAGAUGUUUUUUUGCUUUUCAUUGUAGUAAUAAUCGUUUAUAUAAUCUGGCUAGCCUAUGCUAAAACAUUGUUGUGUCUUUGUCUCCUGUUGGUCUGAAAUUUGUUUAACUCUGUAAAUAUUUUUCUCCCAGACUUAUUAUUCUCAUCGUUAGUCACCCACAGUCACUAGUGUUGCCAGUAGUGAGUCCUAGCAGCUAAUUGGCCAAUGUCCUCCUCUUUCUGCUUACAAAACCGGAACAUGCAGUUAAUUUGACGAUCCUGUGCAUAGACGUCCACUAAACUCCUACUCAUACCUGGAGCUUAUGUGUCAUUUUAAAACACCAGUUAAUGUGGAGGCAGUUCAUUGUAAAUAAUGAAUGAGUAUUUACUCAUGCUUAACUAAGCAGCAUGUACUGUAUCCUGCGUCUUGCCCAGUGGCAGCUGGGAGUGACCUCAAAAGCAUAUAUGAAACAGUACAACAUCCCAUUUUACAGUACAAAUAUGCUUAUACGUGUCUUGUGUGUUUUCUAUGUGGUCACUUGUUCAUUCUGUAAAUACUGUACAUGAGGUUCUGGAUUCACAGAUGUUUAAGUCAGCAAAUGCAACUAAGAAUGUCUGGUAUAAGGAAUUGACCUGUGGGAAUUUAAAAUGAUUUUAAAUAAGGUUUCACAAAAAAUGACUGUGUGCCAAGUCUUUCCUAUUAUAAAAGUGCAACAGUGUCUGGCAGCCUUAAAUAUGAAGUGAAAAUUAUUGUUAUUGUGUGAGUUCUAUUAUCUGUGCCAUGUGUCACAGAUCCAUUCUCAUGUCCAGUAUUCAUGUUAAUUUCCGGGGUUUUAUUUUAGUACUCUAACCUAAAAGCUUAAAUGUAACAAUCUGAGACAAUACGUCAUGGGUAGGAACGAGCUGGCUUCACUUUCUGGCCUCUUGACCUGACAUGGCGAUGCAUUUAAAGAUGGCACUGCAGAUGGAAGCCUCGACUCUCCGCUCUCCAGUACCCUUUACUUGUUUGCUUUUUUGUUUGUUUGUUUUUUUUAUUUUGUGCAACCCCGCUCAUUGCUUCAUGCAUUACCUAUCCCAGAGAGGAAUUCCUGAAUCUAGAACAUUCACCUCCUGGAACCUUUCCUACAGCUUUUACAGACUUGAAAAUUUCAGCCAUUCUGUUCCCCUCACGAGGCCACGCCUCUGCUUUGGACCACGCCCACUCCCUCUAUUUCCCUCAGUAAACUCUUGGCAAUCAGUUGAAUUUCUCACACCUGUGCCUGCCCUCUGCUCCAUUCAUAUACUGUACCUCCCCAGCCCAUCACUCUGUGCUGGGUCAUUGUCACCUCCUCACGCUGCUCAAGCCAAGAUACCCACCACGGACAUGGACUUUUAAGGGACACUGCCUCCUGUCAGCCACGCGUUGUUCUGCCUGUAAGACGUGCAAAGGUACCCGUCUUUGGUUCAUGUUUGCCUCCUCAUAUGCCAUAGCCAUGGUUUCUUGUUGAGUCAGGUUGCUUAUGUUAGCCACGCGUUGCGCUGCAUUUACACUGAGAUGUGCAUUGACACCUAUCGCUUUCUGUUCAGUCAUGUUCUUCACGUCUGUUCAUGCCAUGUUUUAGUUAUGUUUAUUCUUAGAAAUUACAAACGGAAUAAACAGAACUAAAACAUGGCAUGAACAGACGUAGCAUGUUUUAGUUCCAUGUGCUAGCCCUGCCAUAGCUUACAUUGGGCCUUAGUAGGUCAUCUAGGUUUGUUGUUCAGUAUUCUGUUCACUUAGUGUUUUCGUCCUCCUGGUUGAUUUUGGUUUAUUUUUUUGGAGUGUUUUGUGUUUAAGUUUGGAUUAAGGAGACUAUCAUUAAGAGGUCCAGCUCUGUCCUGGGCUACAAUCUGGAGUCAGUAAAAAAGGUGGGAGACAGAAGGGUUCUGGCAAAAUUCACAUCUAUGCUGGACCACGAGUCCCACCCAGUGCAGGACACACUGUCUGCCCUGGAGAGCAGAUUCAGUGACAGACUGAUCCACCCUUGCUGAGGGAAGGAGAGAUUCCGCAAGUCUUUCCUUCCUGCUGCUGUCAGACUUUAUAAUGAACAAUUAUAACAUAGUGCAUAUUUCUACUACACUGCCACACACACGUUACAUCUCCAGUGCAAUUGCACCAGUCACUUUAAUAUCUUACUCUGUUUGGUGCAGUCCAGACCUUACCUCAUUGUGUACAUAAUGUUGAUAACCUAUGGAGUUCUAAGUUCUAAUUUCUAAUUUCUAAUAAUUAUUGUGUUAUUAUUAUUACACACUAUUACAUUAUUGCAACAUGGUAAUUUCCCCAUUGCGGGACAAUAAACGUAUAAUAUGAACUAUGAACUAUGAACUAUCUAUCAGUACCUUGGUUUACCUGGCUCUGACUCGGUCCAAAUGGACUCCCACAGCCUCGAUCCGCCAUCUUGUAUGGCAGGCCGUUACAGGUGCAGCAGCUCUCUAUCAAAUCUUCAGGAAGUGCAGACGAGGGAAGCGCGUAUGUGCGCUCGUCAGACUAAGACAGUGGAGCUUGCGCAGGACCUGAAGUGGGCCCCCCACAUAGACACUGUCUGCAAAAAGGCCUAGCAGAGGUUGUACUUUCUGAGACGGCUCAGGAAGUUCAACCUGCUCCAGGAGCUGCUGACCAUCUUCUACACGGCCAUCAUCCAGUCUGUCCUCUGCACCUCCACCACUGUGUGAUUUGGUUCAGCCACCAAACAGGACAGACACAGACUGCAGAGGGUGGUCCGGUCAGCAGAAAAGAUCAUUGGGACUGAGCUUCCGUCCAUUGAACAUCUGAACCAGGCCAGACUCAAAAACGGGCAGCAACCAUCACUGCUGAACCCACACACCCCUCUGGCAGGCGCCACAGAGCCAUAGCCACCAGAACCACCAGACACAGAGCUAGCUUCUUCCCCCAGGCUGUGUCUGAGCUCAACUCCAUCACAUAGAUAAAGGACUUAGUAAAAACCUGUGGUGCAAUUUUAAUUUAUUUUAUUCUAUUCUUUAUUUCCUUUAUGCAAAUAAUGUCUGUAUAUAACUGUAACGCCAAACGCCGCUGAGGCUUUUCUGAUUAACAGAAUAGAAAUAGCAUUAUUCCUCCACCGUCAGACAGGCCUGUGUGCUGCUGAUACUUACGGUAACAGUGUUGCGAUCACAGAGCCGAGACUCACUCUAGUGAACAAUGGAGAUGAUAUUAGAGCAGGGGUCGGCAACCCAAAACACCCACCCUGAACUGCUGAAAAUAACACCAAAUCACAGUGGUGAUUGUGGUGACAGGUUGAUCUAUCUGCUACUGUUCAGAAAAAGUGUCUUUAUGUUAUAUUUGUUGCAUGAUGUCAGGUUAGUAGUGACCUUUAAUGGGUGCGUUGGUAAAGGCCGUGAGUGUAACAUUAUUUUUGCUGUAGGAUGGAAUGCUAAUUUCACCAAUUAACAGCAGACUUAUUCAGUCCUCAUCCCCUUUUAGCUACUCCCGUAACUAGAGUACAAGCAACGAUCAAACUGCGUCAGAUAAUGCCUCGUAAAACUGUAUAUUUUUAUUGAAUAUUGAAUUGCCAAUUGCAGAAUACAUUUUCAAAUUGCAUAUUUCUUGCUGCCGGUAAGGUUGGAAGCAACAUUGUAUUAACAUGUGCCUGAAAUCUGAAAUGGCUGAAGUGACGCUUGCCCAUUGUUAGUAAAGUAAUCACAGAUUUUUAAUCUAAAUGUGUUUUGAUGCCUUUCUUUCACUUUUAUUUGCUUUAACAACUUAAAUAUUUCAUACAAAGGCAGACUCUCUGUAAUAAUACACUUUAGUCUAGGCAGAAAUUAAAACAUUUCACAUUUUCAGCUGCUUGUGGCCUAGUCUC